UGUUCGCUCUCUAGUGAAUGAACACA
rnacentral:piRNA from 1 species